AUGCUUCUCCUAAAGACUAAGCCAUGCAUGUCUUCGAAUAAGAGGAAGCAAUUCUCUCUGAAUCUGCGAACGGCUCCGCAAACCAGUUGUAAACCAUAGCAAGCACGAUCGGUAUUCGGCCCUCACAGGUCGGGUGCCGGUCAAUAAGGAUAACCCUGGUAAUUCUGAGGCUAAUACUAGAUCGUAAUCCCUGGUUGACCAUAUGGGAAGCCGGGGGACGUGUGAAUUAGGCGCAAGAUGAGCCGGGAAAGGAUG
rnacentral:rRNA from 1 species